rnacentral:rRNA from 1 species
GACGAACGCUGGCGGCGUGCUUAACACAUGCAAGUCGAACGGAAAGGCCCUGCUUUUGUGGGGUGCUCGAGUGGCGAACGGGUGAGUAACACGUGAGUAACCUGCCCUUGACUUUGGGAUAACUUCAGGAAACUGGGGCUAAUACCGGAUAGGAGCUCCUGCUGCAUGGUGGGGGUUGGAAAGUUUCGGCGGUUGGGGAUGGACUCGCGGCUUAUCAGCUUGUUGGUGGGGUAGUGGCUUACCAAGGCUUUGACGGGUAGCCGGCCUGAGAGGGUGACCGGCCACCUUGGGCCUGAGAUACGGCCCAGUCUCCUACGGGAGGCAGCAGUGGGGAAUAUUGCGCAAUGGGCGGAAGCCUGAUGCAGCAACGCCGCGUGCGGGAUGACGGCCUUCGGGUUGUAAACCGCUUUCGCCUGUGACGAAGCGUGAGUGACGGUAAUGGGUAAAGAAGCACCGGCUAACUACGUG